rnacentral:rRNA from 1 species
GCCAGCAGCCAUAUCACUCUACAACUCACAACUCGCAACCCACUGAAGCUCAGCAGGUGUGAGCCUGGCCAGUACCUGGAUGGGAGACCUCCUGGGAAAAACUAGACUGCUGCUGGAA